rnacentral:lncRNA from 1 species
AUGAAGGGAACACCAGGAGCCAGAACGGUGGCCAUCCUUGACAAAGCCAGGGCUUCCUGCUUGUUGAUGAUCAGCAUCGAGGCUGGGAGGCGACAGGUCGGAGCCUGCCCGGUGCUAAGCUACGCAUACCUCCUCGGAGCAGGGGCUGGUUCCCUUGUGUGGAAUGCCUGCCGUUUCGCACCACACAACUCCUGCGCUCACCCCCCCCCCCCAACCCUUCCUCAUGGGAGGGAGCAAGGUUGGAUGAGUGACAUCAAGCCGUCAGUCCAGUCUGCAUUUCUUGAUAUCCAAUUGUUUCCUGAGCCAGAACUCUUCGCCAAGAGUGAGGGAAAAAAAUACUUACCUCUCGGCAAAGGCCUGCUCUGCUUGCUCAUCCCAUGGAGAAACCAAGAUGUCUGAGAUUUGCCGAGACUUUCAGGAGUCCAGACUUUCCGGCACAUGAACUGCGAAGAGACACCAGCAUCUGUUAAGGAUAAGGCAGCAGAAAGUUAUUGUCUCAGUGUUCCCAGAUUUCCUCGCAUCAAGGAGUAUCCAAACAAGGUCAUACUCUGGAGGGUCAUGAAUCAAGUUGAGGACUUGCUUGGCUGUGAUAUAAGGAAGCACUGAUUGUACAGGUAAUAGCCUCACCUGUCCCAGUCCAUAAACCUUCUCGCAACUGCCUUCGCUUUCUUUUUCCUUGUCAUCCAUUUUUCUUUCUCUUUCUCCUAAAUUCAUCUGCUUCUAUGAUUAUCUGAAACCAUGAAUAUGACCAAACACCAUUACAUUGGGUUGCUAUGAGUUUUCUGGGCUGUAUGGCCAUGUUCCAGAAGCAUUCUCUCAUGACGUUUUGCCCACAUCUAUGGCAGGCAUCCUCAGAGGUUGUGAGGCCUGUUGGAAACUAGGCAAGUGAGGUUUAUAUAUCUGUAGAAUGUCUUAGAAGACAGCGAAAUUCCAGACAGGAAGCAAUCAGGGCCAGCUAACACCUCCCAAGGCUAAUCAAGGUGGCUAAUUGCAACAUUCACACUUGCCUCAAACACAUUCACAUUUUUCUCCCACCCUGGACAUUCCACAAAUACAGGGUGUUUGAAAAAGAACUCCCUAGUUUUAAGUACAAAUACAUUUAAACUAGGGAGUUCUUUUUCUUUUCUUUCUUUUUAAAUAAUUUUUAUUGAAGAAUUUCUUUACAAACACAUAGACUGAGACAGGGGAGAGAGGAUGGGAUAGGCGGGGGAGGGGGAGUGACUUGGGGUGGGGUACCGUAAAGGGUGGGAUGGGUUAGAAAGGGGUGGAGGAGACAUGUAGGAAAAGGGGUUUUUAGGUUGGGUUAAACAAUCGGGGGAGAGGGGUAGGGUUGACUUCCGGAUAGUUUCGUCAUGGUUCAAACACCC